CAGUAGCCACGGUAAUACGGAGGGAGCUAGCGUUGUUCGGAAUUACUGGGCGUAAAGCGCACGUAGGCGGCUUUGUAAGUUAGAGGUGAAAGCCUGGAGCUCAACUCCAGAAUUGCCUUUAAGACUGCAUCGCUUGAAUCCAGGAGAGGUGAGUGGAAUUCCGAGUGUAGAGGUGAAAUUCGUAGAUAUUCGGAAGAACACCAGUGGCGAAGGCGGCUCACUGGACCGGUAUUGACGCUGAGGUGCGAAAGCGUGGGGAGCAAACAGGAUUAGAUACCCCUGUAGUCCCUGUCUCUUAUAC
rnacentral:rRNA from 1 species